AAAUACAAAAAUACGUUCCGUGGCACAGCCGCACCCCUGCCUUGGGGGCUUAGUGCUUCUGGCUAGGCAGAGCUUCAAGUAGCAGUUCAGCACCUCAGAGUCAUUGCGUUUAAAAAGGCACCCAUGCACAGGAUCAUUUUUAUCUCUUCUACCAGAAAAGUGUGUGUUUCGUCAUGACGAGUCAUGUUUUCCGUGAUUUGGGGACUUAGUUUUACAAAUAGGCGUGUAAGAAUUGUUUUUCUUUUUGGUGGCCCUGGGAGUUGAACUCACUGCUUCCUACAUGCUAGGCAGCUGCCUUAGCUACAUCUUUACGGAAGCAGCUUUUAAAGAAAGAAAUGCAAUUCUAAAAUGGGGUCAUGAGGGCAAGCUGUGGUUGCAACCAAGUUACUUGCCUAUGCCGAUUAACUCUGGGAUCCUGGGUAACUUUGAUUUCUUAUGAAGAGUGGAAACCACUAGUUUUAUGUACUUUAGACUGUGGGAGAGAUUUGAUGCGUGCAGAGGGCCACACCAGUCCUGAGGAUUCUGAAGUGAGGGAGCAGUGUGGUUUGCCUUGUGCUUCAAUAGACAGAUAAGUGGGUAUGGUGACAGCAGGAUCGAGAGGACCAUGACGGACAGGAGGAGGUGUGUGUGUGGGGUGGGUGGGUCUGGGGGAAUUCAUGGAAACUGCAGUCAAUGGCAGCCUGGACUCAUACUGGGUCAAGAGAUACGUGAGAAAGAGGAGAGGCGACAAUACCAUCUAGGUAAAGAAGGGCUGAGGCAGACUUCCCAUGGAUUUGGAGGGAAAAAACAACAAAGGGUUUGAUCUUCUGGCUACAAAAUGCUUAAUGUCACCCUUGACAAGCAAGACUACAUCCAGCAUCUCAGCACUGAGCUGAAAGGAAGACUUGCAGGUGGGUGUUUUAGAGCUCGUGCUGGCAAUAAGUUCCCUCCUCAGGAUCGCCCAUGCCAUUGUGCAAUAUUAACUCAUGUACUUACCAGCACUUACCUACCUCAAAGAUAUUUUAAUUAGAAUCAUUUUCAUGGAAGCGUGCCAAAUGCUUUGAGGUAUUACAUGAAAGUUUUCUGCCUUUCCAGCCUACUUUUGCACUAUCUAAAUAUUGUCCUUCAUGUGCCAAGGCUUCUGUGUUCUUUCAGUUUGUUCUGGUUGAUUCUAGGCUUUGAUGGAGCCCUUUGCUAUCAGGGUGUUUUCAUCACCCAUCCCGUUUGCUCCUAUCAGUGUCCGUCCUGGUCCCAGAGUUUUGCUGUGACUUGUACAGCACUGGGCCAGCCUAAGCUGACGUUACCCCACUUACUCCAGCUGAGGAGCUUGGCCCUUCCUGUCCUGGUAGUGGUGGCAUGUGCAGUGUGGGCGGAAGGGGAGCCUCCAGCAAAAGAGCGCUGGAUUCCAAUGUCAAAUGUGUCCCUACCACUCACCAGAUUGUUGCAGAAGCGUCACCUUACUUUUCUCGUUAGUGACAAGGGACCAUUGUCCUUCCUUCGUUCACUAAUGCUGAUUGGACUGGAUGUGCAGUAGGCACAGGUUCUAGAUGGAGCCUGGAGUGCAUUACAGAAUGUUCCAAGACCAGACCUUCUAACUGCCAUUUUCAUUUUAACACAUGCCAGGUUUGCCUGGCUGUGUCCAAGGCUUCUACAACAUGAGAAGUCUGUUAAUAUAACCAGUUGACUUGGGUAGAAAGGGAAUAUGAAGCUUGUUUUGUUGGUAAGCCAGACAAGACAUGUAGGUGCUCCUGAAGGAGAGCAGACUAGCUGAACUGCCUUUGUUAUUUCAACUGUAUUUUAUUUACCAGUUUAUUCUAGAUCAUUUUUAUUGCAGUGUUUCGAUCAGAUCUGUCAUUCGUUCUCUCCCCUUCAGCUCCUCCCCACCCUCCAUAAUCUUUUCCUCCCAGUUUCACGUGCACGUGUUCAUUCCAUGAACUCGGUGCUGCCUGGAUGUGCAAAUGUCCCCCACAGCCAUCCAUCUCCAAUAGCUUCUCGGCUCGUGGUACUUCCCGAGCCUCCCUGAUCUCUGCCGGGAUUUUGACUGUUGCUGUGGGUUCCUUUCCAGCAGAUGGUGUUCUGCUGCAGACACACCACCCCUGUCCUCUUCUGCAGUAGUCCCUGAGGCUUUCACGGAUGUCCCAUUUAGAGCCCAUCAGUUCACAGUCUCUUACGCUCUGUGGCUGAAUCACUUGUGAAUCUCUGUAUUAAUAUCCAUCUAUUUCAAAUGAAACUUGUGAUGAGAAUUGAGCGGUGCAGUAACCUGGGGGUAUGAAGAUAAGAACUUCCCAGUGGGGCACUUUAUUACUGCAUCCCUUUACCAGUAUAAUAGCAUUAGAUAGUCCCCUGGGGCAAUGGUCUCCCCAACCACAGGUGUUUAGCUAGUUAGCAGUACCAAGCAGGCUUCCAUCUUUUAGAGCAGGCCUUAAAUCCAAUCAGAAAGUGGUUGGUUACUCUCAUAACUGUGCAAUUCUUGUGCCAGUGGACACACCUUGAUAGGCCUGUCCUUUCUGUAGCUAGCAGGCCGCACACAGUUGGUUAUCUUCAAUGCUGAACAAUUUCUCCUUCAGUGAUAUAAAUAGAACCUUCAAGAAGUGUGAGAGCUAGCUAGUAGGGAUGAAGCUUCCUGGCCAGUGCCAGCAUGAUUUCUGCACAGAUUCUUAUAAAACUUGCUACUGAUGCUGUUCUUGUUUAUCUUUUGUGAUCAUUGUGCUUACAGUCAAAGCAUUUCACUCUGGAUCAGUGAGUUAAAGAAAUAAGACUUGUAUUUUCUAUUGGGACAUUAAAGUUUUGCAAAAAUAAAAGUAUAUAACCUGG
rnacentral:lncRNA from 1 species